UACGAAGGGGGCUAGCGUUGCUCGGAAUCACUGGGCGUAAAGCGCACGUAGGCGGCUUUCUAAGUCAGGGGUGAAAUCCUGGAGCUCAACUCCAGAACUGCCUUUGAUACUGGAGAGCUUGAGUCCGGGAGAGGUGAGUGGAACUCCGAGUGUAGAGGUGAAAUUCGUAGAUAUUCGGAAGAACACCAGUGGCGAAGGCGGCUCACUGGCCCGGUACUGACGCUGAGGCGCGAAAGCUAGGGGAGCAAACAGG
rnacentral:rRNA from 1 species